CGUUUCGGAGCUCCGUCAAAUCUUCUCAUAUAUCACCGUGAGUGCCUGGUUGAUUUUAACAUCCUAUUCCAUACGGAAAUCGAGUAACAUUAACACCCUAUUCUAAUGAUAAAUGACAACGGAUUUUCUAAAAUGUUAAGUUAGAAGGAAAUGGUGUAAAUCAAAGAGUCAUUAUUACAUUAUUAUUGUGUUUGAGGCUGAGAAUUGAGGGUUUAGGAUAACAUGAUAGCAUCGUUCUAUAUCACAUAAUUAUUACAUUAUUUUGUGUUUCCAGCUCCACUUUCAUACAGUUCCGUUUUCAUCCACCAAAGCCAUCAGCUAUACUACGAGUGAUAAUAGAAAACAAAGCUCUCAUAUCCAGUUUACAAAAAAAAAAAAAAUCGCAUAUCGAAACCAAAACGAAUUUCAAUAUAAAAAGAAUAUUAUAAAUAAAAUUAACUAUGUAAAUAUGGUUCUUUUAAUCUAAAUGGAACUGAACCGGAAUCCACGUUAAACCAAUAUUAACGUACAAAAUAGUGUGUAUAUAUAAUUUAGGUUUUUUAACCAUUGUAUAUAAUUAAUUAAGCUUUGCUCCAAAAUUUAGUAAUAACUUUAAUGAUAUUUUUGUUUUGAAAAAUUUAGAUUGCGUGAAAGGAACUCUCAUGACUAAGUUUAUAGAGAUUCAAUAACCACACUCUACA
rnacentral:lncRNA from 1 species